rnacentral:tRNA from 1 species
GCCUUCGUGGUGUAGUGGUCAGCACACUCGGCGCGUAUUCGAGAGGUCCAUGGUUCGAGUCCCAGCGAAGGCA